rnacentral:rRNA from 1 species
GACGUAGGGGGCCAGCGUUGUUCGGAAUUACUGGGUGUAAAGGGUUCGUAGGCGGUGCGGCAAGUCGGGAGUGAAAUCUCUGGGCUUAACCCAGAGGCUGCUUCCGAAACUGCUGUGCUUGAGUGUGGGAGAGGCGCGUGGAAUUGCAGGUGUAGCGGUGAAAUGCGUAGAUAUCUGCAGGAACACCCGUGGCGAAAGCGGCGCGCUGGACCACUACUGACGCUGAGGAACGAAUGCUAGGGGAGCAAACAGG